CCAGACUCCUACGGGAGGCAGCAGUGGGGAAUAUUGGGCAAUGGGCGCAAGCCUGACCCAGCAACGCCGCGUGAAGGAAGAAGGCCCUCGGGUUGUAAACUUCUUUUAUCAAGGACGAAACAAAUGACGGUACUUGAUGAAUAAGCCACGGCUAACUACGUGCCAGCAGCCGCGGUAAUACGUAGGUGGCAAGCGUUAUCCGGAUUUAUUGGGUUUAAAGGGUGCGCAGGCGGCACGGCAAGCCGGCGGUCAAAUCGCGGGGCUCAACCCCGCCCAGCCGUCGGAACUGCCGGGCUAGAGUGGGCGAGAAGUGCGCGGAAUGCGUGGUGUAGCGGUGAAAUGCAUAGAUAUCACGCAGAACUCCGAUUGCGAAGGCAGCGCACCGGCGCCCUACUGACGCUCAGGCACGAAAGCGUGGGUAUCGAACAGGAUUAGAUACCCCAGUA
rnacentral:rRNA from 1 species